AGGAAUGAUGAUAAAUGCACUGGGCUCUGAGCAGUUUUCUUACUGUGGUAAUUGAUGGACUAUGCAGCCUAGAAAGCUUUAUGUGAACA